AUUGAACGCUGGCGGCAGGCCUAACACAUGCAAGUCGAGCGGAGCGGCGGAGGGGGGAGUAAUGCCUAGGAAUCUGCCUGGUCGUGGGGGAUAACGUUCGGAAAAGGGCGCUAAUACCGCAUACUAUUAGAUGAGCCUAGGUCUGAUUAGGGAGCUGGGGGGGUAAAGGCCUACCAGGGCGACGAUCCGUAACUGGUUUGAGAGGAGGAUCAGUCACACUGGAACUGAGACACGGUCCAGACUCAUACGGGAGGCAGCAGUGGGGAAUAUUGGACAAUGGGCGAAAGCCUGAUCCAGCCAUGCCGCGUGUGUGAAGAAGGUCUUCGGAUUGUAAAGCACUUUAAGUUGGGAGGCGUUACCAACAGAAUAAGCACCGGCUAACUUCGUGCCAGCAGCCGCGGUAAUAC
rnacentral:rRNA from 1 species